AAGUCGUAACAAGGUUUCCGUAGGUGAACCUGCGGAAGGAUCAUUAACACGUAUCCACGUAUCCACCCCUGUGCACCUGUUUCCUCUCCCUGCGGCUUCACAUGAGUCGGUAAAACGCGUCAGCAUUUUGGAUAGGGCCUUCGGGCCGGUGCUGCGCGUACAAUAGAGGCAUUCGUGUCUCUGACGAUUGGAGUGAAGCUCGCAGGCAACCCGCUCACUACAGAAGCCUCUAUCCAAGGCCGAUGCAGUGGGUACAUUAUACACCAUUUUCACCUUUUUUGCUAGUUGAUUUUUUAAUGUUGCAUUCAUGUUCGCAUGCAUGCACACGUUUCUUAAUUGAACGAAAAAACAUAACUUUUAGCAAUGGAUAUCUCGGUUCUC
rnacentral:misc_RNA from 1 species